rnacentral:rRNA from 1 species
UACGUAGGGUGCGAGCGUUGUCCGGAAUUACUGGGCGUAAAGAGCUCGUAGGUGGUUUGUCGCGUUGUUCGUGAAAACUCACAACUCAAUUGUGGGCGUGCGGGCGAUACGGGCAGACUGGAGUACUGCAGGGGAGACUGGAAUUCCUGGUGUAGCGGUGAAAUGCGCAGAUAUCAGGAAGAACACCAAUGGCGAAGGCAGCUCUCUGGGACGGUACUGACGCUGAGACGCGAAAGCGUGGGGAGCGAACAGG